GACGAACGCUGGCGGCGUGCUUAACACAUGCAAGUCGAACGGAAAGGCCCUUCUUUUGUGGGGUGCUCGAGUGGCGAACGGGUGAGUAACACGUGAGUAACCUGCCCUUUACUUUUGGAUAACUUCAGGAAACUGUGGCUAAUACCGGAUAUUAGCUCCUGCUGCAUGGUGGGGGUUGGAAAGUUUCGGCGGUUGGGGAUGGACUCGCGGCUUAUCAGCUUGUUGGUGGGGUAGUGGCUUACCAAGGCUUUGACGGGUAGCCGGCCUGAGAGGGUGACCGGCCACAUUGGGACUGAGAUACGGCCCAGACUCCUACGGGAGGCAGCAGUGGGGAAUAUUGCACAAUGGGCGGAAGCCUGAUGCAGCAACGCCGCGUGCGGGAUGACGGCCUUCGGGUUGUAAACCGCUUUCGCCUGUGACGAAGCGUGAGUGACGGUAAUGGGUAAAGAAGCACCGGCUAACUACGUG
rnacentral:rRNA from 1 species